UCUCCGUUGGUGAACCAGCGGAGGGAUCAUUACAGAGUUGCAAAACUCCCAAACCAUUGUGAACGUUACCUAUCCCGUUGCUUCGGCGGGCGGCCCGGGCCCCGCGCCCGGCGCCCCCCGGCCCCCCGUGGGCGCCCGCCGGAGGUAAACCAAACCCUCGAAUUGCAUGGCCUCUGAGUCUUCUGUACUGAAUAAGUCGAAACUUUCAACAACGGAUCUCUUGGUUCUG
rnacentral:misc_RNA from 1 species